rnacentral:rRNA from 1 species
CCUACGGGUGGCAGCAGUGAGGAAUAUUGGUCAAUGGACGAGAGUCUGAACCAGCCAAGUAGCGUGAAGGAUGACUGCCCUAUGGGUUGUAAACUUCUUUUAUAAAGGAAUAAAACGAGGCACGUGUGCCUUUUUGCAUGUACUUUAUGAAUAAGGAUCGGCUAACUCCGUGCCAGCAGCCGCGGUAAUACGGAGGAUCCGAGCGUUUUCCGGAUUUAUUGGGUUGAAAGGGAGCGUAGAUGGGUUGUUAAGUCAGUUGUGAAAGUUUGCGGCUCAACCGUAAAAUUGCAAUUGAUACUGGCAGUCUUGAGGACAGUUGAGGUAGGCGGAAUUCGUGGUGUAGCGGUGAAAUGCUUAGAUAUCACGAAGAACCCUGAUUGCGAAGGCAGCUUACUAAACUGUGACUGACAUUGAUGCUCGAAAGUGUGGGGAUCAAACAGGAUUAGAUACCCUUGUAGUC